GACGAACGCUGGCGGCGUGCUUAACACAUGCAAGUCGAACGGAAAGGCCCUGCUUUUGUGGGGUGCUCGAGUGGCGAACGGGUGAGUAACACGUGAGUAACCUGCCCUUGACUUUGGGAUAACUUCAGGAAACUGGGGCUAAUACCGGAUAGGAGCUCCUGCUGCAUGGUGGGGGUUGGAAAGUUUCGGCGGUUGGGGAUGGACUCGCGGCUUAUCAACUUGUUGGUGGGGUAGUGGCUUACCAAGGCUUUGACGGGUAGCCGGCCUGAGAGGGUGACCGGCCACAUUGGGACUGAGAUACGGCCCAGACUCCUACGGGAGGCAGCAGUGGGGAAUAUUGCACAAUGGGCGGAAGCCUGAUGCAGCAACGCCGCGUGCGGGAUGACGGCCUUCGGGUUGUAAACCGCUUUCGCCUGUGACGAAGCGUGAGUGACGGUAAUGGGUAAAGAAGCACCGGCUAACUACGUGCCAGCAGCCGCGGUGAUACGUAGGGUGCGAGCGUUGUCCGGAUUUAUUGGGCGUAAAGGGCUCGUAGGUGGUUGAUCGCGUCGGAAGUGUAAUCUUGGGGCUUAACCCUGAGCGUGCUUUCGAUACGGGUUGACUUGAGGAAGGUAGGGGAGAAUGGAAUUCCUGGUGGAGCGGUGGAAUGCGCAGAUAUCAGGAGGAACACCAGUGGCGAAGGCGGUUCUCUGGGCCUUUCCUGACGCUGAGGAGCGAAAGCGUGGGGAGCGAACAGGCUUAGAUACCCUGGUAGUCCACGCUGUAAACGGUGGGUACUAGGUGUGGGGUCCAUUCCACGGGUUCCGUGCCGUAGCUAACGCUUUGAGUACCCCGCCUGGGGAGUACGGCCGCAAGGCUAAAACUCAAAGGAAUUGACGGGGCCCCGCACAAGCGGCGGAGCAUGCGGAUUAAUUCGAUGCAACGCGUAGAACCUUACCUGGGUUUGACAUGGAUCGGGAGUGCUCAGAGAUGGGUGUGCCUCUUUUGGGGUCGGUUCACAGGUGGUGCAUGGCUGUCGUCAGCUCGUGUCGUGAGAUGUUGGGUUAAGUCCCGCAACGAGCGCAACCCUUGUUCACUGUUGCCAGCACGUUAUGGUGGGGACUCAGUGGAGACCGCCGGGGUCAACUCGGAGGAAGGUGGGGAUGACGUCAAGUCAUCAUGCCCCUUAUGUCCAGGGCUUCACGCAUGCUACAAUGGCUGGUACAGAGAGUGGCGAGCCUGUGAGGGUGAGCGAAUCUCGGAAAGCCGGUCUCAGUUCGGAUUGGGGUCUGCAACUCGACCUCAUGAAGUCGGAGUCGCUAGUAAUCGCAGAUCAGCAACGCUGCGGUGAAUACGUUCCCGGGGCU
rnacentral:rRNA from 1 species